GGUCUGUGUUUUUUCCGUUCGUCUUGUGUGGUUUUCGUGCUGUCUUUAAGUUUAUUUUUAUGUUGGGUGACGCCUGCUGCUUCCAGUAGCAUCCACUAGGUGCCGCCUGUGACGCCACUCCUGAGGAGUGCAGAGUCGCUAUCUUCUUCACCUGCGGCUGAUGAAGAGGAUGAUUACUGGGCUUCUUAAACAGCAGUCAGACGUUUCCUCCCCGCCUGAGUGUUAACUACCACUGAUCGUCCUUGUGCCUCCUGCGUGUGCCGUCUGCCCCAGGAGCUCUGUGAGUCUGCUUCCCCGUCGUCUGUCUGGAUCUCCCUGUGUCUCCUCUCGACGCUGCUGUCAGACGCCACAGUACCUACCUGCCGGUAUUCGGAUCCUUCUGGUGCUGUUGUCCUCCGAACCAGUCGUGCAGCCGCUCUGUCUCUACUGAACCUACCAUCAGAACCAGGGAGACGACCCGUUGGCUGAUCCAGUUCGUGUUUUCCACCUCCCCUUCCCGAUCACUCAUUAAACACAUUAACUAAU